UAAAAAUAUUGAUAGGUCAUGGACCUUCUUUUCGAGAUAUUUGAGAUUUAAAAUAUGGCGGGAAAAGGCUGACUCGGACUUUUACCUUAUAUUUGCAUUCGUAUUAUUUGGGUCUCAAAACAGAAGAAAGAAAAUCAAGAAUCUUCUAAAAUUUUGGUAAAUGACCUUUUAUGAGCUAUUAAGUCUUAUAUGAAAAAAUAAAUGGGUGUUAU
rnacentral:lncRNA from 1 species